rnacentral:rRNA from 1 species
ACGCUCGACACCUACGGAGGCAGCAGUGGGGAAUAUUGCACAAUGGGGGAAACCCUGAUGCAGCGACGCCGCGUGGAGGAAGAAGGUCUUCGGAUUGUAAACUCCUGUUGUUGGGGAAAAAGAGGAUGGUACCCAACAAGGAAGUGACGGCUAACUACGUGCAGCACGCCGGACGGUAAUCUGGAGGCGGGCGUGGACGAAGGC